rnacentral:rRNA from 1 species
AUUGAACGCUGGCGGCAGGCUAACACAUGCAAGUCGAACGAGUGGCGGACGGGUGAGUAAUGCGUGGGAAUCUGGCUUAUGGAGGGGGAUAACGACGGGAAACUGUCGCUAAUACCGCGUACCAUAGGAUGAGCCCAAGUGGGAUUAGGUAGUUGGUGGGGUAAAGGCCCACCAAGGCGACGAUCAGUAGCGGGUCUGAGAGGAUGACCCGACACACUGAGACGGGACCACUGCCCAGACUCCUGCGGGCGGCAGCAGUGGGGAAUUUUGGACAAUGGGCGCAAGCCUGAUCCAGCCAUGCCGCGUGUCUGAAGAAGGCCUUCGGGUGGGAAAGAACUUUUGUCAGGGAAGCGGUACCUGAAGAAUAAGCACCGGCUAACUACGUGCCAGCCGCCGCGGUAAUUC